CAGUCGCCACGGGAAUACGAAGGGGGCUAGCGUUGCUCGGAAUUACUGGGCGUAAAGGGAGCGUAGGCGGAUCGUUAAGUUGGGGGUGAAAGCCCGGGGCUCAACCUCGGAAUUGCCUUCAAUACUGGCGAUCUUGAGUAUGGAAGAGGUAUGUGGAACUCCGAGUGUAGAGGUGAAAUUCGUAGAUAUUCGGAAGAACACCAGUGGCGAAGGCGACAUACUGGUCCAUUACUGACGCUGAGGCUCGAAAGCGUGGGGAGCAAACAGGAUUAGAUACCCCCGUAGUCCCUGUCUCUUAUAC
rnacentral:rRNA from 1 species